rnacentral:rRNA from 1 species
AUUGAACGCUGGCGGCAUGCUUUACACAUGCAAGUCGAACGGUAACAGGCCUUCGGGUGCUGACGAGUGGCGCACGGGUGCGUAAUGCAUCGGAACGUGCCCAGAGGUGGGGGAUAACGCAGCGAAAGCUGUGCUAAUACCGCAUGUGAUCUGAGGAUGAAAGCGGGGGACCAGGCAGCAAUGUUUGGCCUCGCGCCUUUGGAGCGGCCGAUGUCAGAUUAGGUAGUUGGUGGGGUAAAGGCCUACCAAGCCGACGAUCUGUAGCUGGUCUGAGAGGACGACCAGCCACACUGGGACUGAGACACGGCCCAGACUCCUACGGGAAGCAGCAGUGGGGAAUUUUGGACAAUGGGCGCAAGCCUGAUCCAGCAAUGCCGCGUGCGGGAAGAAGGCCUUCGGGUUGUAAACCGCUUUUGUACGGAACGAAAAGGCUCUGGCUAAUACCUGGGGCUGAUGACGGUACCGUAAGAAUAAGCACCGGCUAACUACGUG